rnacentral:lncRNA from 1 species
CCAUCAUGCAUUCAUAAUGGCAUCAUCAACCAUUAUAUACAUAUAAAGAUUAACAAAUGAAUCUUAACAUUAUAUUGGACCUUGAUUGUCAGCGGAGUGACUCUAGGCACGAUUGAUAAUCCUUAGUGGCACGUUAAACCUACAGAGCAAUGUAUAGGGAGGAGCACCUCGUCCUAGGAUCCAAUCACCUAUAACUCAAAAAACCUAAAACAUGAAUUUUAAAAAGAAAACGUGAGUACACACUCAGUGAGUGAACAUAGGAGGGGAACAAGCAACAUUAAGGAAGGUUUUAGAAAACAUGAUGCACUUGUUUCAAAAACAAUGCAAUUGAAUUAAUUUCUUACUAAAAAGCCCUCAUUCAAACCCUUGGUCACUUAGUCACUUGAUGAUGAAAAACUCAUGAACAACAAAGAAGUUGAGAAGUGAACACUUUAGUAGAAUUCAAGCAAGUCAAGCAUAAUAGAUUGACUCUCACCGCAGCAAAAAGGCAUUCUCACUGCAACGAAAUUCUGGCCAGAUAAAAUCCAAGGGGCUUUCAUUGCCACCGAGAAUAUCCACUCAUGCCACAUUGCACAUUAAAUUGAACACAUGGACAAUACUCAAGUUUUCAUUAUUCAUUUCAAUCAUAUGUUAUAAUCAUAAACUUUCUAUCACAUAUACAUAUAGAAACAUAUAUACGCAUGUACACCACCCCACUUCAUUCAUCAUCAUGUGCACGCCCUACUUGCACAUUUCCAUAUCAUCAUCAUCAUCAUCAUCAGCUCAUGUGCACUCCCUACAUCCGCACAUAGCUGUGCAUAACAUAUAUUUAUAUACAUACAUACCAACAUAAUAUAGGAGCACACAGAUUCAUCCUUUUACACAUUUCACAUUUUCACAAGAUCGAGACAUUUUUAUCAAGGGCUUGUUCCCUGGCACACAUUUUUAAAGAAAGGAUAGAUAAAAUCAUUCAAAUGUUUCACCCAAAUACAUUUACAUUUCCCAAAGCAAAUUUUGAAAUGCAAGUUCACUCACCUGGCAACAAUGAGAUAUUAAGUCGCUAUUUGUUUGGAGGUGUCUCUAACUAUUUUCACUGGUCGAUCGCUCAUUAUUUACUCCACCACAGUUCUCUAACCUUGACUUUGCACUUCCUAGCAAUAAUACGAACUCAAUAUAUUUAAUUACAUACAUAUACAGGCAGCACUUCAAUCAAUAAUCUUUACUCAAAUUUAUAUUUUUCAUCCUAUCAUGAAACCAUCUUCAAUUAACUCACAUCUUAAUACAUUUUUACCAAAAUUACUUAUAUCCAUUGCUUACGAAAUUCCUUAGAUUAUAUCACUGGCAACUUAUUUAUGAUUUCACGUGCCUACUUUAACCUUUCUAAAUAAUUUUUGCCAAAAUCCAUCUUUAUAUUUCCACACAUAAUCCACAUAUAUGGUAGUAACAAUCAUUCUCACUUUCACUCGAUUAUUUCCUAGUUUACAUGCAUCGUUAUCUAUCUAACUUUCAAUACUUUGUUUCUCAAUCCUCCAUCUACAAUAUUCCUUUUUCAUUUCUUUCAAACAACAUGCCAUACAAUCUUAAUAAUUUUCAACUAGCUUAGGCAAAUAAAUCCUUUCAACAACUAUAAUUCCUCACAAUAUUCAACUAAACGUAGGCUUUAAAACAUAGUGUUAAGCUUACCGUUUUCGUUUUCCACAUUGAGUCCUUCAUGUACCCAUGGGUUUAUUGGCUUACAUGUUACCAAUUUUUCUCCCAUCAAGCCAAUCUUUGCUACCACAAGACAUUUCUCUAAGUUACUAACUCAUUUUCAAAGACUACUCAAGCCAAAAACAAGAAUUCUUACCGUUCAUUGCUUGAAUCACCAAAACCAAGCUUUUUCUUCCUUUCUCUCUUUUUCUUUCUUCUCCUCUUAAGGUUUAGAUGUGUUGGAAAUUGGGGUUAAAGGCUGUAAAUUUAGUGCUCAAGAAGUUUGGAGAAGAAAGGAAAAGAAAACAUGGAAAGGAAAGUGAAGAAAACUUGAUUUCAUGGUGGAUAAAGAGAAAAUGACAUGGAAGCUUCAAGAAUGGUGCAGAGCAUGGAUAAAGAAGAAGAAAAAUCUGGUGGGGGAAAGGAUAAUGUCACGACCCGGAACCAUCCUUGAGUCUGUGACAACCGUCGCGAUGUUCCGAUAGGCACUCAUCCCCCGAAUACCAUAUCGAGACCUCGCAAGGCUUUCGUAUCAGUUUCUUAUCUCCCUUGUGGUUAAUCG